UACCACAACAUGGCUUGCCAAGUGGUGCCAUGUCUGCACCCGGGAUCCGAACCAGCGAACCCCGGGCCGCCUAAGCGGAAGGUGCACACUUAACCGCUGCGUCACCGGGCUGGCCCCUGGUGAUGCUUAUUUAAGCAUCAGGAGAGGCAACAAUGGCAUCUUCUGACCACCAGAGGGCACUGUGUGAACAGCAGGCUUAUCGGCAAAACCCAGCUUCACCAGGAAGUCCCUUUUUGCACGUGGCAUUCGCUUUCUUAGGGUUCAUUUUGUGGAACUUCUAUCUAUUCCAAAGUACUCACUCUCUGACUUUGUCUGGGACCCACCUAAAGCUCUUCCUCCCCCUGUAUUCUGGCACUGCCAUUUGCUAUCACCCAGGCUACUUGGGAGGCACCUGGGACUUCUCCCCCAUAAUUAACUAUCAAGUCUUGUUAAUUUUCUCACUG